rnacentral:rRNA from 1 species
AUUGAACGCUAGCGGGAUGCCUUACACAUGCAAGUCGAACGGAGUGGCGAACGGGUGAGUAAUGUAUCGGAACGUGCACAGUAGCGGGGGAUAACUACGCGAAAGCGUAGCUAAUACCGCAUACUAUUGGAGCGGCCGAUAUCGGAUUGGCUAGUUGGUGGGGUAACGGCUCACCAAGGCGACGAUCCGUAGCUGGUUCGAGAGGACGACCAGCCACAAUGGGACUGAUACACGGCCCAGACUCCUACGGUGGGCAGCAGUGGUGAAUGUUGGACAAUGGGGGAAACCCUGAUCCAGCCAUCCCGCGUGGACGAUGAAGGCCUUCGGGUUGUAAAGCACUUUUGGCAGGAAAGCGGUACCUGCAGAAUAAGCACCGGCUAACUACGUGCCAGCAGCCGCGGUAAUAC